AAAAAAAAAAGUCUUGGCAGCUUGAUAUAGGUUGGGCACAAAAUUUCUAUUUCCACAAGGUAUCCAGUAAUAAAUAAUAAAGCCAAAUUUCCCCAACCCACGGCUUCUGAUUGUGGGCAGAGGUAUGCUAGACCUGGAAUAUAUACCAGCAUAAAUAUGAAGUAAACACAUCUACAAAAUAUGAUCUUCGAACCAGUUAACCCAGAACCAAAUAUCGCCCUAACCCAAAAGCAAAAAAUUUAUGUACAUGCCACAGCAGUGCUAAGCUUGCUUUCCCUGUAUGCUGCUCCAGAAUUAUGCUUCGAAAACAAAAAAGCUAAUAGUGGAAACCUGGUCCCUAUUCUGAGAUAAGUUGACCUGGCAGUCCACCCGUUAAACUACGCCUUGCUGCCCCAUCAAUGGGUCUAAGCUUUCUUUACUACAUAAUUUAUGUAUUUGUAUGUGUAGAACCAAACUCAUUCAUAGGUGGAUAUUGAACCUGUGCCGAAUCAACUACAGGUGUGACAGUAAAUGCUGGUUCAAGAUUUUCAUUUACACUCUUCUUUGGCCUCUUUAGCCUCUUGGGUCUUUGUGAUUGUGGAUCAGCAUUUGGCAAAGGAUCAUCCAAUUCGUAGUCCAUCAAUCCGGAGUUUGGUUCGUUCAUCUUUUGUGAAUUUCUUGGAUUUGGCAGAGUCUGCUUCUCAGAAGCAACUUUCCUCUUUUUGUUACUGGAUUUUGCUUUCUCUGUAUCCUGAGAAUGCUCAUGUCCAGUACCCUGAGCCUCACUUUCUGUCAAAUCUUCCAAAGUUGCAUCCCCUUCUGCAUCAAGUCGUAUGGCCUUUGUUGGCUUUUUCUUUUGUCUAUCUUUGGCCUGCACUGGAAUUUCUCUCAACUUCUGCUCCAACUGGGCAUCAUCCAGAAGUAGUGAUACAACAUCCUCAGGGGCCAAAAGAUCACCCUGAACAUGACCACCUGUCAUGACAAGCUGUUGGACAGUACUCUUCUGGCUUGCUCUUUGUAGAAUCUUCUCUUCAACAGUUUCUUUACAAAUAAGCCGGUAGACAGUAACAUCUUUUGUCUGACCCAGCCGAUGAGCUCUAUCCAUAGCCUGCAAAUCUAAUGUUGGAUUCCAAUCACUUUCAUAAAAAAUGACCGUAUCAGCGGCGGUCAAGUUGAUACCCAGUCCACCAGCUCUGGUGCUUAGUAAGAAUACAAAAAUAUCACUCCUAAGCUGGAAGUCUCUGACCAUGUCCCUUCGAUCCAUAAUGGUGGAGGAUCCAUCAAGUCUAAGAUAUCUAUAUUUCCUAUAAUUCAUGUAGUCCUCAAGAAUAUUCAGCAUUUUCGUCAUUUGUGCAAACAAUAGAACCCGGUGGUUUUCAGCUCGCAAGCGUUUCAACAAUAUAUCAAGUGUUUGAAGCUUCCCAGAGUCCGUGAGUAACUUUGCUGGGUCAAAGCUUUGCAUGGGAGGACAAGACCCAAAUAUCUUGUACGUCAACUGAAGAGCAGGUUGUGAAACUGGUAAUUCAGAAUCAAUCUCUUGAACUAGAGGAUGAGGGCCAUCUGGUUUUCUGGGUCCAUUAAACUCAGAUGUACGUGCAAAACCAAUUAACAACCUUUUAACCCAGGGUUGAUGCAGCUCUUCAUUCAUUUUGUAAGCAAAAUUCCUAUCUGAGCAUUGGGGGCAAAUCGGAGGAGCUCUAGCUCGUGGGAUGAAUGUGUAUGUCGAAUGAAGAGGCUUGAUGUUGGACAGAAGCCUGUCCUGAUAAGAGGUGACUAAAGCCUCAAAUGGACCAUCAGCAGGCCCUGUUGGAAAUCUUCUUCUUAAAACAUUUGUCUCAGAUCUAGAUGGCAUCAAUAACAUCCGAGUAACAGCCCUUACUUUUCCCCUAUCAAGGUCAUUAUAGUGAAGGUCAUUAUCCAUGUCUUCCAUUAGCAAGUCCAAGAUUGCAUCCAAAAACUGACGGUCCCAUCUCAAAAUAGAAAAUAAUAGCCUCUCCAUAAACGACCCAGUUGCCAGAAAUGCAGCCUCUGCUGGUGACAAAUCCAUCAAAUGUGUAAAACCAAAUGUCCCACUCUUAACAAGCAAGCUAUCGGAGUUUUUCUCUUGCGUGAAUAUAGACCGGUAGACAUUUUCUGGGGAGAAUAUGUUAAAAUGUUUCUGAAAUAAUUCUUUGCAAACACCAAGCCUAACCGCUGAAGAAUGUGCUUCAGUGCUUGUCUGGCUGUGCAUUAGUUUUGGUAUCUUGUAUGAAAUAGGAUUUUGACUUCCAGAAUAGUGUAUAUCCUCCAAAUCCCCAAAGGGAGGGGGAAGAAGAGAAUUUGGUAUCUCUCCAAAAUAGAGAUAGGUGUUUCCCUCAUUCCUUUCAAAUAACUCAGGAUGAUUACAUACCUUCCUCAACUGAAUGACUAUAUUCAUUAGAUUCAUAAUUUUCUUCUCAUUAAGAUGUCCUCGAUUCCCGUCAAACAGCUCGGCAAGAGAUAUCUUGUUCUUGAUGGCUUGAUAGAAAGCUUGCUGCCGAGAGCUUAACUUGCAGUGUACUGUAACCUCUUUUUUCUUGGUCAGCUCUGAAAUCACAUCUUUUUUUACUCUUCGUAGCAUAAAAGGCUUCAAAAUUGCAUGCAACCGAUUAAGCUGAUGCUCAUUCAAAGUGCCCCCAUGCUCUGCAUGAUUUUCAAUUCCUUUGGAAAACCACUCAUUGAACUGUUCAUGGCUGUCAAAUAAUGUUGGCAUAAUGAAAUGUAGAAGGGCCCACAACUCAGCCAUAUUAUUUUGGAUUGGUGUACCAGUAAGAAGCAAGCGGUUACGACAAUUGAAACUGAGCAGUGUCUUCCAUCUUAUACUGCUGGAACUUUUUAUAGCCUGGGCUUCAUCCAACACCAUGUAUUGCCAUUUCACACGCUGGAAAUACUUCUGAUCAGACACUAGCAGUUGAUAGCUGGUAAUGAGAAUGUGAAAUCCAGCCUCCCUUCUGUAAAGACGCUUAGGAUUGAUGUUUUUCCGUAGUAUCGUUCGCUCUUGAAUGCCACCCCAAUAAGGAAGGGUUUUCAAGUCAGGACAGAAACGGCUAAUUUCAUCAGCCCAGUUAUUCAAGACAGAAGCAGGUGCAACAACAAGAAAUGGCCCCCAUAUAUUUUUCUCCUCAGCCAAAUGAGCCAAGAAUGCCAUAGCUUGGAUAGUCUUUCCAAGGCCCAUUUCAUCAGCAAGUAUACCAUUUAAACCCUGCUCAUAACAAUUAACCAGCCACUGAAGACCCUUCAGUUGAUAUUCUUUAAGGCUACCUUUAAACAACUCUGGUGUCUGAACAGUUGAUGUAACAGGCAUGGUGGAGGGGUUAUGGAGAUCUAUGUUACUGGAUCCAGCAACUGAGGCAUCAAUGUCAGCAGCUUGACGCAGCUUUGAGCACUCAUUAUCAAAAGCACUUGUUAACUUUUUCUGCUUAGAGACUGCAUCUUGAGCAGCUUUCAGAGCCUCUUUUCUCAAUUCAGCAUCCUCAGGGUCUUCUUCAUCACCAAGUCCUGUUCCAGAAGUGCUCAAAAGCAUUUCUUCUUCAUCUAAUUUCUCAUCUUCCACAGGCAAAGCUUCAGAAGGCUGUGAAUUAGGCUUAUUUUGCAUGAAGUGACUGUAAAGUUCAGUUUGCUGAAUGAGAAAAUUAAGCCUUUGUUGCUGUCUCUUUGCUUCUCGAAGCUCCUGUUCACGCUUCAAAGCUUCUGCAGCUUCUCUCUCCUCCUUUUUCCUCACUUCUGCCAUCUCCUUAUCCACUCGCUUCCAAAAUAGCAGCAUAUCUCUAGCCAACUUCCUAGUGCGAAUUGCAGCACCCCUCAUCAGUUUGAGUGAUCUACUAACCUUCAAUUUUACCUCUCUUUGACAGUUCUCUGAGAACCUCUUCGCAUCAAUCAGUUGCUUCCUAUGGAAAGUAGUGAAAAUUCUAUGAUGCUUUGGUACGUCUCUUCUUACAAUGUUCACCCAAACCUUACCAAUCUUCUCCAUUUCCUCCCUCUCAAUGACGGCAGGGUCUUUUUUUACCUUUGGCUUCUUGGGUAGACUUCGCUCUAUGAUCUCGUACGUAUCUCCUUUCUCCAAAACCUUCACAUAGUAAACCUGCAACACACCACCCUCAGACAAAAUAGACCGUUGUAUAUUUCCAGCUGCUCCUUCUGGGAUGGAGGAAUUCAAAGCAGCAUCAGAUAUUUUCAGACUGAACUUCUGGGCGGAGUUAGAAGCUGCCAUUGCCUUCAAUCUUGCCUGAAGUGAUUCGUACUGGGACUGGGGCUCCCCCAUCGCUGCUCUGCUUCUAGGUCCAAACCUUUUAUCAUGAGAUAUCAUUUCCGCCAAUGACCCUAAAUCCAGGGUUCCCUUCAAGUAAAAUUCCUCUACCCUGAUGUCUGAGAAGCUUGGCAAGUUCAAUGAUGCUGCCAACUUAUCAUAAGAGGGAGGUAUCCUAUAAGUGACACCCUCACCAAUAUCCAAAUAAGCAGGUUCAUACGAUAUUUUCGGUGUAUGGUCUGGUUCAACAUAGUCUCCACGCUUUUGGGGUGUAACAUCAUUGAGCCAUUCUGAUUUGGUUUCCAUAUCAUACAACCCUCCUCGCAGCUCAUUACCCAACUUCCUGGUCUUUGAACUACCCAUACUGGUCCUUGGAACGUGAAUCCCCAUCCGUGUCAAAGCUGGUGCAGGACUUGAUGAAUCCUUAAACCUCCUUUUGUACUUCUGAAUGUGCUCUCCCAGCAUUGAUCGAUAUCGCUCCUCCGUGAUGUGUGUACCGUAGUAUCCGUCUCCCUCCUCUCUGUCACUGUUAUUAGACCGCUUCUUUCUCUUAGCUAAACUCAAAUCCCUCUCCGAAAUAGUCCCAUUACCAUAAUUUGCCAUUGCACCACCUUGGCUACCUCUGCUCUCAUCCUGACUACUAUUCCCAUAAUAAUCAAAGUCAUCAUCCGGUUGUGGAACUUUGAAGUUCAUCAAAGACUCAAGAUUAAAGAGAUUGGAAUAAGAGAGUGAGUCCUUGGCUUGCCUCCUGUGCUCCAUGACGCAGAGACCGCGGAGAAAAUCUUAAGAAGCAAAACCCUAGGAUUUUGAAAAGCAUGGAGAGAAGCCAAGGCAGUGAGGGAAAAAGAAAAACAAUAAUUAGAAACCCUAAGGAUAUUGCGAGAGAAAAGAGGAGAGGAAGGUUAGUGUGCGUAGGAUAAGGGGAGUUGAGAGAGAAAGAGAAGGACCGAAGGAGACACAGACGGUAUAGGAAGCAUCGGGAGGUGUUAACGUGCGCCGGUUGGGCGCCAUUUUGUUAACAUGCACUGUUUUUUCUUUUAUGAGUGUUGUGUGUUUCGU
rnacentral:misc_RNA from 1 species